CCUACGGGAGGCAGCAGUGGGGAAUAUUGGACAAUGGGCGAAAGCCUGAUCCAGCAAUGCCGCGUGAGUGAUGAAGGCCUUAGGGUUGUAAAGCUCUUUUACCAGGGAUGAUAAUGACAGUACCUGGAGAAUAAGCUCCGGCUAACUCCGUGCCAGCAGCCGCGGUAAUACGGAGGGAGCUAGCGUUAUUCGGAAUUACUGGGCGUAAAGCGUACGUAGGCGGUUAUUCAAGUCAGAGGUGAAAGCCCGGGGCUCAACCCCGGAACUGCCUUUGAAACUAGAUAACUAGAGUCUUGGAGAGGUUAGUGGAAUUCCGAGUGUAGAGGUGAAAUUCGUAGAUAUUCGGAAGAACACCAGUGGCGAAGGCGACUAACUGGACAAGUACUGACGCUGAGGUACGAAAGCGUGGGGAGCAAACAGGAUUAGAUACCCUGGUAGUCCACGCCGUAAACGAUGAUAACUAGCUGUCCGGGCACUUGGUGCCUGGGUGGCGCAGCUAACGCAUUAAGUUAUCCGCCUGGGGAUACGGUCGCAAGNUUAAAACUUAAAGAGUAGUCGNGNGNGNGUGCGACGACGACGACGACGGAGGAGGAG
rnacentral:rRNA from 1 species